rnacentral:lncRNA from 1 species
CAAAAAGUAAAAUGAAGAGCAAUGGAGGAAGACGAUGGCUUCUACAUAUGCAAACAAGUGAGCACACCAACACGGAACUCAUCCCGGAAAAGAAAAUCUUUGGAUACCAUCAAAAUUGAUCAAGAUUCGAGUUGAAAAAGACAACCCUCUCGACAAGGACGACUGACAGGUAUUUACUGAGUCCCAUACAGCCAAUGAGGACCAGCCUGACAACAAUCCCUACAUGCUCCGGAAAAAGAAGAGGACCAUACCUCCCCAACGGCACUGGAUUCAACUCACUCCAUUUCAACUGACACUCCGACCAGCGCUUCAAGUACUGACUUCAAUCAAGUUGAGGAUUUCAACCUUGAUCUUCAAACAAGCAAAUCCCAUCUAACAUGGACUGGAGAUAACCCAAUAGAGACUUUCCCUGUGCUAACAUUUUUUCCACAGGACCCCACAAGGCUACCAUCGUCCCAUUUCAGCAGGAAGUAACUUAGAAGAUGCUAUGCCCCCAUUCCCCAUUAUUGUUUAUUAGGGUAUUGUAAGGCUAUUUAGGAAUAACUUUCUUAUUGUUUAGAGUUGGGAUUGGAAGGAGGUGUUCAAGUUAGACACCCUUUCCACAUGACUUUAGGGCUUAGAUGGAAUAGAUAGUUAGGAUGUGCAAUAGCAGAUUAUUCUAUCUUCUUAUACUUCACCUUUAUGAUUGUUAAUUUUGGAUAUUUUACACUAUUAAGUUUUAAUCCUCUUUUAGACUAAAAGGGGAAUUGUAGGGAGAUACUGUAGCCCCGCCUCCUAGUAGCCUGGACAGGUGUGCCUGGACACGCCCAUGAGGGCGUGGUGAGGGGAAGUCUAAGGUGACUCUCGGGAAUGGUUCUUAAGGGACCAUGCACACGUGGAGACCCUCUUCUCCCUUCUCCCUUCUCUCUGGCCUGGCUGCCUUGCUGCCUCAGGCCCGCUUUGGCUUGCGCUUGGCUGGUGUUAUCUGAAUAAAGAAACCUUAG